CUCAGACUGUUGUCCAGCGCUGCAUAGUUCAUCUGAUUAGAAACUCAACCAAAUAUAUUCCAUCAAAGCAUCUGAAGGCUUUC
rnacentral:misc_RNA from 1 species